rnacentral:rRNA from 1 species
UGAGCUCAGGCAAGAUUACCCGCUGAACUUAAGCAUAUCAAUAAGC